GACGAACGCUGGCGGCGUGCCUAAUACAUGCAAGUUGAGCGAUGAAGCUUGGUGCUUGCCCCAAUUUGAAGAGCAGCGAACGGGUGAGUAACGCGUGGGGAAUCUGCCUUUGAGCGGGGGACAACAUUUGGAAACGAAUGCUAAUACCGCAUAACAACUUUAAACAUAAGUUUUAAGUUUGAAAGAUGCAAUUGCAUCACUCAAAGAUGAUCCCGCGUUGUAUUAGCUAGUUGGUGAGGUAAAGGCUCACCAAGGCGAUGAUACAUAGCCGACCUGAGAGGGUGAUCGGCCACAUUGGGACUGAGACACGGCCCAAACUCCUACGGGAGGCAGCAGUAGGGAAUCUUCGGCAAUGGACGAAAGUCUGACCGAGCAACGCCGCGGGAGUGAAGAAGGUUUUCGGAUCGUAAAACUCUGUUGGUAGAGAAGAACGUUGGUGAGAGUGGAAAGCUCAUCAAGUGACGGUAACUACCCAGAAAGGGACGGCUAACUACGUG
rnacentral:rRNA from 1 species